AUCGACAUUUCUUUUCAUUUAUAGAUCCUUAUUACUUUCAUUCUCUUUCUAGCCUUAACAUAGGUUGCACUAACUCUCUUCUUUUCUAUAGCGUAGUUGGAAUAGAGAGAAUUUGCCUGAAGAAAGCACUUGGCUAUUGACUAUCACUAAUUGCUCAAUCAAGACUUGAGAUAGGAAAGACCAAGUUAAUAUAUAUAUAUAUAAUUCUUUUAGGAGUAAUUAUACCAAAUAUAUAAGUCUUAAGUUUCCAAGAACAUCCAAAAUAUGAUAAAAAAACUCUAAAUCCUUAUAUAUCCUUAUGGGAUAUUAUUCCCGAACUUCAACAACUCAUAUUUUCUAAUC
rnacentral:lncRNA from 1 species